rnacentral:misc_RNA from 1 species
ACACCUCAACUCUCGUGGCUUGCCAUGACGAGCUUGGACUAUGGGGGUCUUGCUGGCCUGAGGUCAGCUCCUCUUAAAUGAAUCAGCUCGCCAGUGUUUGGUGGCAUCACAGGUGUGAUAACUAUCUACGCUUGUGGUUUUCCACCAGGUAACCUUCAGCGAUGGAGGUUCGCUGGGGCUCAUAAACGUCUCUCCUCGGUGAGGACAGCCCUCUGAAC